rnacentral:lncRNA from 1 species
CAAAGCACUAAGCCAAGUGUGGGGCUGUUCUACAUGAGGGCUCCUCUGGGACUGCACAGAGCUUGCAUGACCAUGAAGUCAGCCUUGUAGUACCUCAAGUUACAGAGGAGGAAACAACCCAGAGAAGUAAAGUGGCCUCCCAUGAUCUCACAUUAGAGAUAUGCAGUGGGAUACUCUCUUGAGGUGCUGGACAGCGGCAGUGAAAUGCAGCUCCCAGUCAGGCACAUGAUGACAGUGUGCUGUGUUGCCAGCAAUUUUUGGAUAUCCUGUUUCCGCAUCCAUCAUGUCUACAAAAUGCCCAUCUGUGUCUCCUGCUUCUGGUGAGAAGAAGAGGAAGGCAAUUACUCUUGAGAUGAAACUCAAGAUAAUUGCCCAGCAUGAAGGCAGCAGGCCAGUAAUGGCCAUCACACGUGAGUUGGG